AUGUCUGGUGAAGGAGACCGGGCGUCGCGGCCGAACUCGCUGCUGCUGGAGGUGCCUCCGCCAGAGCGGGAGCCCCUUCGCUUCGACGUCCAGUUGGUUGGGGCGCCGCCAGAAGUCGAGCAGCUUGUCAACAAUAUUAAACAAGUCGCUGAAGACUUCCUGUACCAUUGGAAAACUUUUCCCAUUGUGCUCCCGCAGUCGCGUUUCACCGGCCCGGGCAAUAGGCCUUCGGACAUCAUCGCAGCGCCCCCGUGCGACGAGCUCGACGCGGCCGCUCUCGACGCCGGCAUCGAACCUCAUCCUCUGUCGCCGAAGCAGCUACAUGCCAUCAGGGAAAAAGGGGAGUUCGAAGUCCCAUCACGCCACUUUCCCGGUCAGACGCACGUGUGGCGAGUCGCACCAUGGCUGCAACGCGGGCGGGUCAGAGCGAGAGAGGAGCUGUAUUGCCAUCUCGCUCGCGCACUGUCAUUGGUGGUGGUGGUGGCGAGGGAUCGGCUGUUAAGGGAUGAACCGUUUUCGGUUAUAUCUGGUGUCAAGUCUUUACUUUUGGGACUCGAGAGAUUACUAGACCUGGUGAUCGGUAUGCCGUCGCUGGAAGCCCAAGACCUCGAGAAGAAGAUCAGGGACGAACGGUCGCGGUAUUUAGUUGCUGAGCUGAUAUGUAAGCCCGAACAUCAAGAAGACAUAUCAGUGCUGGCUGCGUGGGUGACGCGGCAGAUGAGACGGGCGGCCUCGGAGAAGACAGACGCGCGGGAGUCUCGCACCAUGCCCCGAGUGCCGUGCGUCUACACCACGCCGCAGCGGACGCAGGUGGACCUUCGCCUAUACCGGCGCGAUAUCCUACGUAAAGCCGCGCACACACUGCAAGCGAUAUUAGAGCGCGAAUCGCGCGGUUGGUUCCUACAUUUUAGGGAGCGAAGAGCCGCUAUGUUGGCCAGUCAGAAGAUGCCCGUCAAGGAAAUUGAGGAGGACGUGAAAGCGGCGGCCUCUCGUGAAUACGUGAACAGAGUUUGCAACGCAGUACUGAACAGCGAACAGCUACUCGCAUUGGGCCCAGACGUGCCAGCACUAUUACAGGAUCAGUUGAGGGCUUAUCACAUUCUUGACAGAGCGGAGGACAAUAUCCGUCGGAAACUGGAAGCAGGUCUGUCGCGAGCCGAAGCGAAGAUAAUCGCAGCGCACCCCAUACUGUCCCGCGCCGACAGCUGGAGAGCCGAGAAAGUCUCCAAAGCCGCCGAAAAGUUACAAUUGGAGUUACGUUGGGCGGCGCGCGAGGACGCGGCGGCGGCGCUGCAAGCGCACAAGCUGCUGCAGCACAGGUACUUCCUGCUGCGGGACCUGGCCUUCCUCAGGGACCGGGAGCCGCUGCUGCUCAAGGAAUUAAAGGCGGCGAAGUCACCAACACGCACGUUCUCCUGGGCCACUCGCAUCUGGUUGCCGCAGCACUGGGUCGUGACCCGCCACUUCCGGGGCCGCAGCGAGAGGAUCCCCACAGUGCUGAGCACGCGGGCCACCUCCAUAGUGACCCCCAGGAGCGACCCCUCGCAGCCGGUGUUCUUGGUAGACAGGGAGGUCGUGAGGUCCACCACUACGAGGUGGCCGGGCUGGAGGCUGCUGAACUUGGCGCAUCGCACAUGGUGUUGGAGUUGGAACAUGAUGUUUCUGCUGGGUAUAUUGAUUCCCUGGUGUUCCCCGCUGUCUUUACGAACUCUCAUCUGCGUGAAGCCAAUAGUGCCAGAGUUAGAGCUCUCACAGGUGAACGGCACACUAUUCCCGAAGCGAAGCAGCGAAACACAAACUAUGUGGUCGCGACUGCUCACACUAUGGCGACAUGUAUCUAAACAGCGCACUAAGUUUGAAACUGAGCCGGAUACGGGUCUCCUCGGCAAAGGGUUGAGCCGGCAAGCGAACUGCAUAUGGAAUUAUGGUGUCAUCGGUGGCCUCGGAUCACUAUGUCUCCUGCUGGUGUUCCCUCUAGCAGCACUAAGUGUGGUCGUGCUGUCUGCAGCUGCUGCCGUCAGCGUGCCGCUGUGGAUGCCUGUCUUCACUGUCGGCGCUCAUGCCGCGUUUGCGCUGCUCUAUGACGUUGAUAGUCCGAGGAAGAAGGACAAUAGAUGGUUUGUUCUAUUCGAAGUGUUGUUAUGGAGGAUAGCAGUGUUAGGCGUACUGCAGCCUAUAUGCGCAUGCGUCGUGGCUAUAGUGAUAUGUCCAUUGUGCUCUCUCAUUAUGUUAAUCGCGUGCGCGUCGUGGUGGACGGCGCGCGGCGCGUGGGAGCGCGCGCUGUGGCACGGCGUGCUCGCGCGCGGCGCACGCGUGCCCGCGCACGACUCGCGCUACUGCGCGCGCGUGCGCGGGCCCGGCCUGCACUGCCGCACUUACUACCAGAUCGAUUCAGCGCAAGCGUUGGCAGCAGUAACAGCGAGAGGGGAGGUGGAGGCGCUAGCGGCGUGGGUGGGGGAGCUGGAGCAGGCGAUCGAGCGGCCGCUGCGCGACUACCGCCACUUCGUCGAAGCCUGCUUCGGCCCCUUCUCUGUGCAGAUCGCUAGGACGGGGUCGUACAGACAACUAGAGAAGGAGUGCGGUGAGCUGACAGCCUCGUUGCGGGAGAAGGUGUCCGCGCGGAGACAGGAGCUGGCGCUAGGUCUCAGCGACGCCGCGCGGGCGAGGGUGCGAAUGACAGCUCACGAUCUGAGGCGUGCCGUCCAAGCGUCAGCGGUGGAGUUGUCGCGAGUGUUCAGCAACAUGUCGCGCAACGAAGAAUGGUGGACGGCCAGGGGGCUGGAAGUUGGUGAUUGGCACGCGUUGGCCGCCAACACGCUGGUCGAGGUGUUCGACGCUGAAGUACUAAUAGCGUUAGAAGAGAACGAAGCGAGGCUGUCUCUGUCUAGCGGCGCCGCGCUGCGGACGUGGGCCGCGCGCUGCGGACGCGACGACGCGCCGCCCGACGUCCUCGCGGAGAGGGACGACUGGCGCAGAGAUACUAUGGGCGCGUGGAGCGAGUGGGGCUCCGGGUCGGCGGUGCGGGUGCCGGCGCCGGCGCUGGAGGUGUCCGCGUUUAGCCCGCGUGCCCCGCUCAUGCCGCCCGUGCCCAGUCAGGCGGUCUGUGCGCUGGUGCUCCACAACAGGGAGUCUGACAACCCCGUGCCGCUGGACUCGGAGCUCUGCGCCGAGAUACUGAAGACCCUCGACGAUGCGCCCGACUCUGAUGACACCAGAGCAGAGUGUGUGUCGCGGUACCGCGGCGGCGCAUCGUCCUCCUCCAGCUCGGCCGCCAGCGAGGGCUCGGCCGACGCUGACCUGGACGACCAGCCGGACCCGAUGUGCAGCGUGUCGCGGGCGGCGUGUCGCUGGACGCUGACCGGGCGCGGCGUGCGCUUGCGCGCGGACCUCGCCAGCCCCGAGGACGUCACGCUGGACGACAGGGCGGGGACCUCCGUAUGAUACGUCGCUGUAGAAUAGAAGUGGAAAGCUGCAUCAGGGAUAAAGUGUAGUCGUUGCGACGCUUACGUCAUUGUGAUGACGUCGCUGUAGAAUAGAAGUGGAAGCUGCAUCAGGGAUAAAGUGUAGUCGUUGCGACGCUUACGUCAUUGUGAUGGUAGGGUUACGCUAUAGUAUAGUUGUUAGGGAGAGCGUGCACUGUACUCGUACCACUGACAGUGAAUGAACGAAUGAAUGAAAGAAUGAAUUUGCAGGCAAACAUGGCAGAAGUACGUCAAUAAAAUUAUGUCUAGAUUCAGCUGAACAAGCGUGCAAUAACCCAUUUAUAGCUGAUUUUUAAAUUUCCAUCUAGGAUACUCAGUUUGAAGCGGUUGUGGUGUAAUGGUAAAGACUGACUGUGAACCGAAAGAUCCCAGGUUCGAAUCCUACUCAUGCCACAUGAGUUUGUGCACUAAUCUCACUCAUGUGUAGUAGUUUUCAUCGACCACCACUUGCUUCCGGUGAAGGAAAACAUCGUGAGGGAACCUGCACACUGGCUGAGAAAGCAAUUCCCAACCACUCCAUUAAUAGUACCAAGAAAGUCGUUAUGUGUGUUUAAUUUCAAGUAAUGACCCUCAGCCAUGAGGAAUGCGACCAUGACGAAGAGAAGGCUACACAGUAUCCCUUCUUUACUUGAAUAUGAACGAAUGAAUGAAUUUAUCAACUUCCAGUAAAAGUAGAAGUAAAUAUAUUCAUGCGCAUAGAAAGAAAGAAAGAAAGAAAGAAAGAAACAAGGCUGAAAAUGAUAAAAUCACGGCUUUACACCUACAAUAAUACUGUAGACAAUUUGAGGAGAUUUUUAAUGAGACUUACAUAUUUAAACUAUAAUCCCAUAAAACUCCAAACUUCUAUAACUCAAUUAAUACAGCGUUCUCCAUUUACAUUGCGUAAUUUGCGUUUCAUUCCACGUAAUGACUACGACCCUCAGUCAUGAGGAAUACGAUAAUAAUGAGGAGUAUAUUAGCUUCCAAAGAAAAAAAAAUCACUAUUGAUUUAAAAGUUUGUUGUGUUUUUGUGUGUGAGUGUUUCACAUAAAGUUUUAUUACUUAGUAUAAAUUUUAUUUAACUAAUUUUAAUUUCGGAAUAUGUAAUCACAAAAUACAUACGUUGUAUAUAAAAUGUACAGUGCACGCUAAGCCUUAAAGAUAUCACUAUGAAGUUUCAACGUCUGUCAAUCCAAAUUGAACUUUAAGUAUUAGAAGUGAGAGCUCAAUUAACAUGACAUCGUAAUUUCAGAGUGACUAUGGUAUGCUAAGUUUGUGUUGCUAUUAACGGAGUCUAUUAUUUGUAAUGUUGAGAUUAUUAUUGAAAGGGUUACCAUAAAAUCUUCUUUCAGGUUUUGUGAGAAAUACAUUAAUAUUGUAGCGCGGCAAGGUCACGUAUGUGUUGUGGCCUGUACAGUUACGUGCGAGGAUGGAGCACCCAUCUGUACAGUCCACAACACAUCAACCUACCUAAAAUGAUUGCAAUAUGAGCUCAUGGUAACCCUAUUAAGUAGAGCGUUUAUUGUUUUGACAAUAAGCUAUAGAUUGAACACGAUGCUUGGGUUAUAUUUGUGUAAUAAAAUAUUUUCGAUCGACCGCCGAAAAAGAAUAUGUUUUUAAGGAGUCUUUGUUGACAUAAUGUGAUAUUUUUCAAUACUCUGAGUAAGAGAAAGGAAGUUGUGGCUUCUUUUAAGAAAUGUUGGGAUUUUGACCAUUUUUGCCGUUAACUUAUGAGAUGAAUAAAGUAUUGAAUAAAUGUAUGAAAUUAAAAAGACUCUCAUCGCUAUGGAUAAGAAUAUUUAUAGCACCGCUUUUUAUCGCAAAUAUUUUUAUUGCAAUGUGAACGAACAGCGGUUCGUUUGACUAAAAGGUUGGAAGUCGAGUGUCACUUAUAUUGAAUCUGAUAAAAAGUCGCCAACAUCAGGGCUUCUCUUACGCCAAUGCGAAUAUUGUUCGUAAAGUGUAAUUAAUAAAAAUUAAUAAAAAUAAUAAAUAUUAUAUAUAUAAUAGGUGCAUAAAUAUAACCCAUCCAUCCUAAUCAUCGCUCUUUAAAAUAAGUCUUUAAUGCUGAGCGUGUAAAGUUUAAAAUCGCGUAGACUGUAGAAAACUGAGUUAGGGGAUAGCGCGGAAUUGAAAGACUUGGUCAAAUACCUCGGAAUAAGUGCACUUGUCUCAAACAACGAUAGUGCGUAUGCUUAAAAUAAUAAGGUUGAUAUUUCUGUAGCAAUAUAUCAAUUGAAUCUGUAAAAAAUAUCCGUACUUUUAAAUAUAAUAUUACAAUAACCUCGUAGUGUAAAAAAUCAAGAAUAUUUUCUUUUGCGGAUUCAGUUGGCAUAGACUAUAAAAUAUAAUUUUUUAAAUUUUUGGUCGUCGUAUUUAUUAUAAUCUCUUCCGUUGUGUACAAAAUUUAGAUUCUGUAGCACAAAAGCUGUUUUAAUAUAAUGUAGUGUAUGUAGAUUUAUUGACCAAAAACUGCGGCAUUUAUUUUUUAUACGUAAUUAUAUCUAUGGGCUGGUUUCUUUUCUGUGCCAUUUUAUAUCUAUUGUUUAAAAUGGGGCGUCAUUCGUAAGUUUUUUAAAUUGAAAAAAAAAUGUUACAUGGGGCUAUUUGCCUUAUCUAAAACUAUCAGAUCGGAAUGUCAGUCUCUCUGAACAAAACAUUUUUUUUUCAUGAACGUUUGUGUAUAAUGCUUAUUUUAAAGCAUUGAAUUAAAAUAAUAUUUUUAUACAAUUAUUUUCGAAAUGAUUACUCGAAAUGUGAAAUAAUUAAAAAAAUAUUAUAUUGUUUAUAAUAACGUUGGCCAAUCAUAACAUAAUGAAUUCAAACAAAUUUUCUAUUGGACGCAGACCCUCAAUUAACAGACGUCACACGCGUAACUACCGUAUUUACGACGUAACUACCGUAUGAAAUUGAUUCCUAAUAAGUAAUAAAGCUUAGAAAUUCGCGAGAGUAAGGAGAUGCACUUAAACCAAGAUAAAGAAAACUAAAGAUGACGGGCUAACGUAACCAAAUGAGAUAGAAGAUUUUCAUACAACUUCCCAGCUCAAUACGGUAGUCUCAUACAAAUCGGCAUAAUGGGCCUUGUAAAACUGAGCACACGGUGAGGGAUAAGAUAUUAGCUAUUACGUACUCUUUCUUGAAUGAGCGAAACAAAAGAUAUAACAAAUUCUGUAGUUUUCUCUGUCUACGCACUUAGAUAUAGAUGAGCACUGAAAUGCCUUGUUGAAAUCUGGGUUGGGUGUCGAAACUUGCACGGUAUUGUCACUAUAUUUUCUUCAUUUCGUCCUGAUUUUUUUUUAUAUACUACCAAACAGACAAAUAGGCAUGCGGCCCACACAGUCACUUGCCUGUGGAUGCUACAACACGAGGAGAGUCACGCGUGCGUUGCCCACUUUGUGUUCUAGGUCUUUUGCCACAGUAACCUGUAAUCACACGCCUCUCUCACCCUUCAAGCCGGAACACAACAAUGCAAGCACUGUUGUUUGGCGACAGAUAUAGUUGAGAGUGAAGUACCCAUACAGACGACGUUCGUACCGUCCUAAGAAAUCAGAGAUAGGUCUAUCUGGAAUACUUAUUUGAGUGAUAAACAUAAAAUAUACUUCAUUACAUUGACAUUAAACUAUAAAUAAUACCAAUGGUCAGAUAGCGCAUUAAUAUCUGUACACAAUACAAAUCAAAAAUCAUUUAUUGCAUAUAAUUUUUGUUACGCAUUUUAAAAAGUAUACGUCGGUUCUUAUUCCGAUUACAGCCUAGUAUUAAAUUACAGAAUUCUCUUAUUAACAGGCCUCUUAUUAGCAGAAGCGGUGGUGGUGUAAUGGUUAAGACGCCCGCAUGUGGAUCGAAAGGUCCCAGGUUCGAAUCCUACUCGUGCCACAUGAGUUUGUAUACAAAUCUGACUCAUAAUAUAGUAGUUUUCAUCGACCACCACUUGCUUCCGGCGAAGGAAAACAUCGUGAGGAAACCUGCACACUGGUUGAUUAUUAACUUGUGUGUGAAAUGGAGAAGGCAAUGGCAAACCACUCCAUUAUUAAUGCCAAGAAAGUUGUUGUGUGUGUUUAAUUCCACGUAAUGACCACGACCCUCAGCCAUGAGGAAUACGACGAUGAAUCUGGUCUGGAUUCACAGAAACAAAUUAAAAUCGUGACAAUAUCUUGCAAAUUUAGUAAACACCGACCCAGUACGUAGAUAUUUUUCUUAUAGUGUAAUUAUUAAUCUAUACUUUUUUAUUUCUUAUUUAUAACUAGCUAUCCUAUGAACGUAGCGCUAAUAUAAAAUUAAAAUCCAUAAUAUUAACAAUACAGGUUGAAUUUAUAUAAAAAUACAAGGUUUUAAAUUGACGAGCGUUGCCGAUUUUGCACCAUCUAACAUGCGAUUUUAAUUGUUCCCUUUAAAUAGCGUAUUAUGGCUAUAAUGUAUGUCAUCAUCAAUUAAUUUAAGAUUUAGGUUUCUGUCGUUGGAGCACUUUGCCAUCGAUCGUUUUGCCUCCCUACACGACAUGACAACUGCCCUUGUCUUUUAUGUCAUCUGUGUAAAUUAUAAUGUAUGCAAAGAUGUGCAAAUACGAGAUAUAAAAAUAUAUAUUAAACUGGUAUUUGCGCAUCUAUAUAGCAUGUAACAAACCUCAAUACUGCCAUUUUCACAUUAAAUGUGUGUAAUUAUAUUAGAACUAAAAAUACAUGACCUCUUAAAUAAAUAGUCACAAUGCUUAUUUCCUUAUUCAUAAUAAAAUAUGAAUAUGUGCACUGUCCAUCCCGCUAGCGAUAGUGUCGUAACAAAUAACAGAAAUGAUUACAGCCUAUUAACAAAUUCGGUGAAACCGGCUAACGAAUCUUCAUUGUUAUCACUAAAAUGCAUUUUUAGAAUAGAUUUAUGUCGUAUUCGCGUAGAAUAUGUCGCAAUAAGAGACCAUGACACUAAGCUUUAGCUAGAAUUACGUAGAUUUUAUUAUGCUAUGCGAUACGAAUUCAACUUUAAUACUUAUAAUAAUAUCUAAUUUGUAAAUAUAAGAUUUAAUUUGUCAUUGUGAAAAAAAAAAUUAAAAAGCAUGUGUUUUGUUUAUGAAAUGAAAUUAAUCUAAUUUACUUUACAUUGUGUAAUUUUAUGAUGUAAUUAAUUAAUGGAAUGAUUUUAGUAAAAAAUAUUUAAAUAGCUGUGAAGCCAACUGUAGGGUUGAGCCAAAGUUGUUCGAGUGAACAGUUUACAUGACAUGUUGCUCUCCUAGAAUAAUACCAAAUGAAGUAUAAAAUGAAAAUGAUAAAUAUUAUAUUGUAAUAUACAAAAUAUUUCCUGGUUUUAGCGUAGUAAACUAGUAAACAUUUGGCCUAAUCGUGAAUACCAGUUUGAUCUUACGAGCACACGUGAAGGCAAAGUUCAGAAUACAAACUUUGUAAUAUUAGUACAAUCAACAAGAUAAAAUUCCAACUCAUAUGACUAUGGUUACGCAAAUAAAAAAUUGUAAGAACUUAUGUUAUUGACUGUACCUGUAGUAGUUGCUUUCAUCAUAAGACUAUACCACGAAAGGAGUCCGUGGCAAUAUAAGUAACUAUCAAUAUGUCUUAUGUCUAUAAGCCACGUUUUUGUUUUCAGCGACAGUAGCGCCACAUCUGCGGAACUUAUUUCAUGGUAUGGACUCUGCAUGUAUCAUUCACAUGCGUUUGAUACAUUCUUGACAGAUGAAGCCUAUUUUAAAAAGCCUGAGAACUGUUAAUGGCCUUUCACAUUUGCUCAUGUAAUGUAGCUAGUCUUAAGAAUCACAAAAUAUUUUAUGUUUGUUAAUUUUAUGUUGAAUACACUUAUCUAUACACUUACAAAUUGUGUAGAUGAUACCAAUAAAUAGUCUAACAGUGCAAGAUAUUUGUUGACUUAAACGCGGUAAAAUCUAAGCCUCUUUGGAUUCAGUGGGGAUUAAAAGCGAGAGAGAUAAAAAAUACCUCUGUGAUACCAAAAUCUACUUUUUACGAUUUCGUUGCAGAUCGCUUACUUUGUUAAUUAAGACCAUUGUCUAACAAUGUCCGUCCUUGUACACUUUGUUUUUGGUGAAAUUAAUCCGAAAUAUAAAUGUUCCUACCUUAUGUUAUGGAUGUGCGUGGCAGGUACCCUAUCGCGAUUACACGUACUACAAUUGAAAGUAAAUGAGAAACAGGACUAUUGACUACUUAUAAAAAUAUACCACAUACUCGCAUCUCUUGCGGACGCUCACUCGUCUGCCUCAGCCCUGAGUAUCAUCACAAAAGUUUUGCGUCUCCUUUUUGUUUUAUGAGCCCACACAUCCGAUGACGUUGGUAUCGUGUCUAUUUAGACAUUCUAAACGCAAUUAUUUUACCAAUAUGUAGGUAAGAAAGCUGAAAAAAAAUUAUAUAAAUACAUGUAUGGUUUAAUAUAUUAUUAUGUAACUAUGACGCUUUUACUAUAUUUUUUAUUGGAAGUGUAUUUUUUUAAUCACUAUGUUCUUAAAAAUGGCGAAAAUAUACGUGUUUUGGAAUCAAAUGAGAUUAUAUUAAUUUUCUUUUCGCUGUGUAAUUGUAAGUAAAAUGCCACCGGCUAGAACGAUGCAAUAUUGUGGAACCUUUUAUGUAUUAAACAAUUGAGAUUUUAAAUCUACCAGUGUUUAACUUGAAUAUGCCGCGCACCAUUUUAUUUAUCUUUAUAGUGUUUAAAUUCCUAUAUUUUAUAAUUACUUAUAUUUUUUUUUGUGUGAAGAGGGGUUAAUACAUACGUACUCCUAUGAGGAUAGACAGCGACUAGGGGGAUAUGACACGAUCCUGAAAAUCACUCGCAUAAAAUGUAUGGCGUUAUUGUUUCGCUCAUAGUUGGAUUUUAUAGAUUACUGUUUUAUUUUUGCAAAUGUUCGAACACUAUGUAAACAUGUUACAUUAACAUAAUAAUAAAAAGACUUAUAUAACUCUUGAGGUAAUAUCGUUUCAAACCACGUAUUAUUGUGAUUAAAAUAAUGUAAUAGAUCUGGCCGAAGGAAUACUAUGGGGCGUAAGAAAUAAAACAAUCAUUUGUUAUUGAAUGGAAUUUAAAAUUUAUUAAACCUACCUAUCUAGUAAUAAUUAUAAUCUUCACAUCUCUGUUACACGUUUGGAUCACAUGGAUUUGAAAAUUAUGUUGUUUAUAAAAUACCUACUAUGAUAUUAAUAUAGAAAGCUUGAAUGCAUAUUCUGUUAAAACAAAAAUAAUUAUUAAAAACAAUUCAUUUUGAUCUGUACGAGCGAUGCUGUCGCGUCAUUGGUUUCUACUACAACAUUAUCUAUUUCUAAUUUAACAAUAAUAAUUUGAAAGAAUUUGUUGAACCUACCUACCUAAAGAUAAAUAAAAUGAAAGAAAAAAUAUUAAUAAAAAUAUAAAAAAAUGUUAUUAUGCGUACGCGGAUACCUAGAAGCUUUAAAACAAAAUUGAUCCUAAUCAAAAUAACAUAAUUAACGCAAACUGUAAAAUGGAUUACAAACAUACGGGUACAAUGAUUCUUAAAUCAGUAAAAGUAAAUGAUAACAACAAGAACCACACAGCGCCUAUCGGGUCAAGAACGACAGAUUGCAUUCGAUACAGACAUUUUAUUCGAGUGUGACAAAGGGAAUCGAAAUGUGAAAAUUACCAUCUAAAUUAUUAAAUCCAGGAAUAUUUCUUUU